rnacentral:rRNA from 1 species
AACGAACGCUGGCGGCAGGCUUAACACAUGCAAGUCGAACGGUUGUAGCAAUACAGCAGUGGCGCACGGGUGAGUAACGUGUGGAUAUCUGCCUUUUGGUUCGGAAUAACUCCGGGAAACUGGAGCUAAUACCGGAUGGUUCCUACGGGAUAAAGAUUUAUCGCCAAAAGAUGAGUCCGCGUACGAUUAGCUAGUUGGUGGGGUAAUGGCCCACCAAGGCGACGAUCGUUAGCUGGUCUGAGAGGACGAUCAGCCACACUGGGACUGAGACACGGCCCAGACUCCUACGGGAGGCAGCAGUGGGGAAUAUUGGACAAUGGGGGCAACCCUGAUCCAGCCAUGCCGCGUGAGUGAUGAAGGCCUUCGGGUUGUAAAGCUCUUUUGGCGGGGACGAUGAUGACGGUACCCGCAGAAUAAGCCCCGGCUAACUUCGUGCCAGCCGCCGCCGUAACAC